rnacentral:rRNA from 1 species
GCGUUGUUCGGAUUCAUUGGGCGUAAAGGGUGCGUAGGCGGCGGCGUCAGUCGGAUGUGAAAUCCCAGGGCUCAACCCUGGAACUGCACUCGAUACUGCGUCGCUCGAGGACUGGAGAGGAGACUGGAAUUCACGGUGUAGCAGUGAAAUGCGUAGAUAUCGUGAGGAAGACCAGUGGCGAAGGCGAGUCUCUGGACAGUUCCUGACGCUGAGGCACGAAGGCCAG